AGUGAACGCUGGCGGUAGGCCUAACACAUGCAAGUCGAACGGCAGCACAGUAAGAGCUUGCUCUUACGGGUGGCGAGUGGCGGACGGGUGAGGAAUACAUCGGAAUCUACUUUUUCGUGGGGGAUAACGUAGGGAAACUUACGCUAAUACCGCAUACGACCUACGGGUGAAAGCAGGGGAUCUUCGGACCUUGCGCGAUUGAAUGAGCCGAUGUCGGAUUAGCUAGUUGGCGGGGUAAAGGCCCACCAAGGCGACGAUCCGUAGCUGGUCUGAGAGGAUGAUCAGCCAAACUGGAACUGGGACACGGUCCAAGCUCCUACGGGGGGCAAGAGGGGGGAAUAUUGGACAAUGGGCGCAAGCCUGAUCCAGCCAUACCGCGUGGGUGAAGAAGGCCUUCGGGUUGUAAAGCCCUUUUGUUGGGAAAGAAAAGCAGCAGGUUAAUACCCCGCUGUUCUGACGGUACCCAAAGAAUAAGCACCGGCUAACUUCGUG
rnacentral:rRNA from 1 species